rnacentral:rRNA from 1 species
GAACGAUGCUUUCGGGCAUAGUGGCGCACGGGUGCGUAACGCGUGGGAAUCUGCCCCUUGGUUCGGAAUAACAGUUAGAAAUGACUGCUAAUACCGGAUGACGACGUAAGUCCAAAGAUUUAUCGCCGAGGGAUGAGCCCGCGUAGGAUUAGCUAGUUGGUGUGGUAAAGGCGCACCAAGGCGACGAUCCUUAGCUGGUCUGAGAGGAUGAUCAGCCACACUGGGACUGAGACACGGCCCAGACUCCUACGGGAGGCAGCAGUGGGGAAUAUUGGACAAUGGGCGCAAUCCUGAUCCAGCAAUGCCGCGUGAGUGAUGAACGCCUUAGGGUUGUAAAGCUCUUUCACCCGGGAUGAUAAUGACAGUACCGGGAGAAUACGCCCCGGCUAACUCCGUG